rnacentral:rRNA from 1 species
GAUGAACGCUGGCGGCGUGCUUAACACAUGCAAGUCGAACGAAGCACUUUAUUUGAUUUCCUUCGGGAUUGAUUAUUUUGUGACUGAGUGGCGGACGGGUGAGUAACGCGUGGGUAACCUGCCUUGUACAGGGGGAUAACAGUUGGAAACGGCUGCUAAUACCGCAUAAGCGCACAGCAUCGCAUGAUGCAGUGUGAAAAACUCCGGUGGUAUAAGAUGGACCCGCGUUGGAUUAGCUAGUUGGUGAGGUAACGGCCCACCAAGGCGACGAUCCAUAGCCGACCUGAGAGGGUGACCGGCCACAUUGGGACUGAGACACGGCCCAAACUCCUACGGGAGGCAGCAGUGGGGAAUAUUGCACAAUGGGCGAAAGCCUGAUGCAGCGACGCCGCGUGAGCGAAGAAGUAUUUCGGUAUGUAAAGCUCUAUCAGCAGGGAAGAUAAUGACGGUACCUGACUAAGAAGCACCGGCUAAAUA